CAUUGAAGAUCGUUGUCCCUAGAUCUGACCCAUUUCAAUCAGGAAUCAACCAGGGUUCUUUCCCUCUCACCAAGACACCCAAAUCCAAGCAUAUGAGGCCACCUACAACAUGUAGUCUUCUCCACCAAGAAAUCUUCAGGUUGUUCAAGAUGAUAUAGGCUUGUAUGGGUAUGAUAACCAUGGGUGCUUAAAAGCAACUUCCCGUGGUGACAUGGAGAGGGAGAUGGCUGCUGACAUGGAAGGCUGGAGGGGUAAUUUUGGAAAUGAAAUUAUAAAACAGUGGAUAGUGCAUGAAAGGGAUAUUUUUUUGGGCAACAGUGGACAUUUUUUGGGUUAUGGAAAGUUGGGUUACCAAAAAGCUAUUAGGCCCAAAUGGGCGAGCCAAAACACAGUUUUCCC
rnacentral:lncRNA from 1 species